UGCACACUCUAAAAAAUGUUGGGUUAUUUUUUCUACCCAACCGCUGGGUUAAGCCUGUUGGGUCAUUUUAUUGGGUUAUUUUCUCAGUGUUGGGUAGUUUUUAGUGUAACCCAGCCGCUGGGUUACUAGUUGGGUCAAUUUUAGUGACAGUUGACACAGUGAGCCCCUCCCCCUCCUCGACGCCUCAACUCUAUCCUUCGCGGGCAUUUUGAGUCACCUCAGGAGUCAAGAGCCAUCGUUUUUCAGCGAGGACAGCUGUUAUUCGGAGAAAAAAAAGAUGAACAAAUUGAUGAAGAAACCCUCCUGCUGCUUGAUGAAAAAUCACUAGAAGCUAUGAUACCAAAAAUAGGCCUGUGAUUGAAAUUUAAAAAGCACCUGAGAGAGCUGCUUGUGAGUGAAGAAAUGCACAUUUAAGAUGGGAUAUAUCUGCUUUAAGUGCAAAAAGACUGUUGGGGCCAAUGUUCGUUUUUUGUUUUCGCAUCUAAGAAUAAUGCAUAAUGUAUAUAGUUCAUCAAGUUAUUUUGAGUGUGGCCAAGCUGGGUGUCAUAGGACACUUAACUACAGCAGAUCAUUUAAGAGGCAUCUGCU
ensembl:lncRNA